UACAUGUGGGGCAAGCGUUGUUCGGAAUUACUGGGCAUAAAGGGUGCGUAGGUGGUUCGGUAAGUCGGUGGUGAAAUCCUGCGGCCCAACCGUAGAACUGCCGCUGAUACUGCCGAGCUGGAGUGCGUGAGGGGUAGCUGGAACGAGUGGUGUAGCGGUGAAAUGCGUAGAUAUCACUCGGAAGGCCAAAGGCGAAGGCAAGCUACUGGCACGCAACUGACACUGAGGCACGAAAGCGUGGGGAGCAAACAGG
rnacentral:rRNA from 1 species